GUUAUAGAAGUUAAUUCGCGGUCCUGAACUGCAAAAUACAGAGACUACAUUAACAAAUAAUCCAAAAUAAAAGGAUGGUUUUGCAAUACAGAGCUUUAUAGGGGUAGAUGAGGCCGUGGUGGUCCAGCUCCUAUAUAAGAAGGGCAAGCUCUCUUGUUUAUACACACAGACGUGGGAGGAAACGAAGUAGGAACUGACGAUGAAAUGAGCAUGGGGAAAGGGAGAUUGGAGUUACUGGAAGUUGUAGGAAUGGGCUGUUUGGGAUGAAUGAAAGUGGAGGUAAAUUUUUGGAUUUAUAGUGUUAAAUUCUUCCCAAAGCCGCGCAUUCCGAUGAUUUCCGGCGGUUCCUCCCUUUCCCUUCUGUGUCUCUCUUUUAGAUUUUAGUACCUUUCUGGGCUUCUGCAUGCCUUGUUGUGUAGCCGGUGUAAGUAGCUACGCAGUUUCCCGAUUCCCCACGGCAGAAAAGGGAAAUGAAUGGAAAGAAUAGUCAUUAAAUCUGGAUAUGUAUAGUAUUUUUUAGAUCUAGGGUUCUCCGUACGUUCUUGUACGCAUACAGUAAAUGAUCUUGUUUGGAUCUUUGUAAUAAUAAGGAAAGAUAACAAGAAAAAAGGGUUUAUGUAACUAA